UCUGACCCGGGACAAAGCUUUUCGGCAGCGGGGAAAAAGCCCGGAGGCCGGGGCUGUCCCGGCAGGGCUGGAUCCCGUUUCACGGCGGCGGCUCCUCCAAACGAGAAUAGCAUCGAACCCUCCCCAGAACACCCCGGAGCCGGGAGAGGGGAAUCCCUGGCACAGCCCCCGGCUGACCUGGCCGCGCCGCCGCUGCCCUUUAGCCCCGCUCUCCCGCGGCCGAGCUCCUUUCCGGCCCCUGUCCCGCUGCUGCCGGCGGGAUGCGCCCGGCUGGGAACGGGCCGCCUCGCUCGGGUGCUCCUGGCAGCUGAGGCAGCACAAAGCCCCACGUCUGUGGCAAAACCGGCCCGAGAAGUGCUAACGACAGAGGAGAGGGUCUGAGAGCCAAGAUUUGCUCCUAAAGAUGAAAACACGGGCAACUCGUGUCAGGAAUCAUCACUUCAAGGAUUUGUUUCCACAUAUAAGGUUUUCACAGCUACUGCAUUUCUUAAAGGAAACUGACAGAUGACUACCUAUGAGGUGAUUUGCUGAGCAAGAAAAAAUCCGCUGAGUUGCACAUCAAAAUUACAACAGAACUGCUGUUUCACAACAGAUAAUGUUGAGAUUUUUACCU